rnacentral:rRNA from 1 species
UGCGUAGGCGGAAAUGGUAAGUCAGAAGGUGAAAUCCUGCAGCUCAACUGUAGAAAUAGCCUUUGAAACUGUCAUUCUUGAGUACAUUUGAGGUAGGCGGAAUGUGGUGUGUAGCGGUGAAAUGCAUAGAUAUACCACAGAACACCGAUUGCGAAGGCAGCUUACUAAACUGUAACUGACGCUGAGGCACGAAAGCGUGGGUAUCAAACAGGAUUAGAUACCCUGGUAGUCCACGCUGUAAACGAUGAUUACUGGUUGUUUGCGAUACACAGCAAGUGACUGAGGGAAACCAUUAAGUAAUCCACCUGGGGAGUACGUCGGCAACGAUGAAACUCAAAGGAAUUGACGGGGGCCCGCACAAGCGGAGGAACAUGUGGUUUAAUUCGAUGAUACGCGAGGAACCUUACCUGGGUUUAAAUGGGGAGUGACAGGCUUGGAAACAGGCCCUUCUUCGGACACUCUUCAAGGUGCUGCAUGGUUGUCGUCAGCUCGUGCCGUGAGGUGUCGGGUUAAGUCCCAUAACGAGCGCAACCCCUAUCGAUAGUUACCAGCACGUUAAGGUGGGGACUCUAUCGAGACUGCCGGUGUAAACCGUGAGGAAGGUGGGGAUGACGUCAAAUCAGCACGGCCCUUACAUCCAGGGCUACACACGUGUUACAAUGGCCGGUACAAAGGGCAGCUACUCCGCGAGGAGAUGCGAAUCUUAAAAGCCGGUCUCAGUUCGGAUCGAAGUCUGCAACCCGACUUCGUGAAGCUGGAUUCGCUAGUAAUCGUAUAUCAGCCAUGAUACGGUGAAUACGUUCCCGGGCCUUGUACACACCGCCCGUCAAGCCAUGGGAGCCGGGGGUACCUGAAGUAUGUAACCGCAAGGAGCGUCCUAGGGUAAAACUGGUGACUGGGGCUAAGUCGUAACAAGGUAACC